rnacentral:rRNA from 1 species
GAUAAACGCUGGCGGCGUGCCUAACGCAUGCAAGUCGAACGAAGCCUUCGGGCUUAGUGGCGGACGGGUGAGUAACACGUAGGAACCUGCCCAGGAGUGGGGGACAACUCCGCGAAAGCGGGGCUAAUACCGCAUACGGUCUACGGACCAAAGCCUUCGGGCGCUCUUGGAGGGGCCUGCGGCGGAUUAGCUAGUUGGUGGGGUAACGGCCUACCAAGGCGACGAUCCGUAGCUGGUCUGAGAGGAUGGCCAGCCACACUGGGACUGAGACACGGCCCAGACUCCUACGGGAGGCAGCAGCGAGGAAUUUUCCGCAAUGGGCGAAAGCCUGACGGAGCAACGCCGCGUGGGGGAAGAAGGCCUUCGGGUUGUAAACCCCUGUUGCGAGGGAAGAAGAUCUGACGGUACCUCGCGAGGAAGCCACGGCUAACUACGUGCCAGCCGCCGCGGUAAUAC